rnacentral:ncRNA from 1 species
AAAAAUGCAAUGAGCGGGAAAAUUUACCUGCCCCAGCAUCCAGAGAGACGGCGUAUGGUGCAAGCCGCCAGCAAGCAGGCAAAGAAGCUCACCCGCGAGCAGCUUCUCUGAACCAAGUAGGAGCAGACGUUUCCAGCACGUUACGCUGCCGAUUCGCUAAUCGGGAAAAUUAAGUACAACUUAGGGUGGUACCGCGAAAAAACUUCGCCCCUAUC